UACAGAGGGGGCAAGCGUUGUUCGGAAUUACUGGGCGUAAAGGGCGCGUAGGCGGCCUGUUAAGUCGAACGUGAAAUCCCCGGGCUCAACCCGGGAACUGCGUCCGAUACUGGCAGGCUUGAAUCCGGGAGAGGGAUGCGGAAUUCCAGGUGUAGCGGUGAAAUGCGUAGAUAUCUGGAGGAACACCGGUGGCGGAGGCGGCACUCUGGGCCGGAACUGACGCUGAGGAGCGAAAGCGUGGGGAGCGAACAGG
rnacentral:rRNA from 1 species